ACUGCGGCUGCCGACAGGCUUCCUCGGCCAUGGUCACAGGGUGAUCUUCCUAAAUUAGCAUCUUGCAGAGUCUUCGGGCUCCUGCUCAACACCCUCACAGGCUUCCAGAUACCGUUAGACUGUUCCACGAAGUUUGUCUAGUGACUUAGUCCUCCAAAGUCACUUUCUGAACAGACUGCAGUUUGGGGUCACUGUGUGCCCUGUGGCCCCCUACCUGAUGUCCCCUUCCUGACUGCAAAGUCUUUUUGGAGACUGUGGGGAGACCACGGCUUUCUCAGCUCCAGAUCUCAGUGCAAUGGAUGAUGACCACGAUGGUGCUGCACUAAAGCAAUGGCAGAAUGAGACAGAGAUCAAAAUAUCCCUGCCUGCUGGAAAGGAAUGGAGGACAA